CGGUUAAAGUAGUAAGGGCGCAGGGUGGAUGCCUUGGCACUGAGAGCCGAUGAAGGACGUGAUAAGCUGCGAAAAGCUUCGGGGAGGAGCAAAUAUCCAUCGAUCCGGAGAUAUCCGAAUGGGGAAACCCGGCUGAGGAAACCUCAGUCAGCGUAUGGUGAAUCCAUAGCCAUGCGUGGGGAACCCGGGGAACUGAAACAUCUAAGUACCCGGAGGAAGAGAAAGAAACAUCGAUUUCGUAAGUAGCGGCGAGCGAACGCGAAAGAGCCCAAACCGCGGUGCGUGCACUGCGGGGUUCGGACUGCGACACGGUAGGCGUAAGAUAGGAGAAGGGACUGGGAAGUCCCGCCGGAGAGGGUGAAAGCCCCGUAUCCGAAAUCCCAAGCCGCCCAGCAGGAUCCAGAGUACCACGAGACACGAGAAACCUUGUGGGAAUGAGCGGGGACCACCCCGUAAGGCUAAAUACUGCUCAGUGACCGAUAGCGCAUAGUACUGUGAAGGAAAGGUGAAAAGUACCCCGGGAGGGGAGUGAAAGAGAACCUGAAACCCUGUGUCUACAAGCUGUGGAACCACUGUAAAUGUGGAACUGCGUACUUUUUGUAGAACGGUCCGGCGAGUUACCCCGGCCGGCGAGGUUAAGGACUUAAGGUCCGGAGCCGAAGUGAAAGCGAGCGUUAAUAGCGCGUAUAGUCAGCCAGGGUAGACCCGAAACCGGGUGACCUAUCCAUGUCCAGGUUGAAGCUUCCGUAAGAGGAAGUGGAGGACCGAACCCACAUCCGUUGAAAAGGGUGGGGAUGAGGUGUGGAUAGCGGAGAAAUUCCAAUCGAACCCGGAGAUAGCUGGUUCUCCUCGAAAUAGCUUUAGGGCUAGCCUCAUGAGAGUCUGCUGGAGGUAGAGCACUGAAUUGCCUAGGGGGCGUCAAAGCUUACCAAAGCAUAUCAAACUCCGAAUGCCAGACAGAUGAUUCAUGGGAGUCAGACCAUACGAGAUAAGUUGGAUGGUCAAAAGGGAAAGAGCCCAGACCCACAGCUAAGGUCCCAAAGUGCGUGUUAAGUGGAAAAGGAUGUGGGGAUUCGAAGACAACUAGGACGUUGGCUCAGAAGCAGCCAUUCAUUGAAAGAGUGCGUAAUAGCUCACUAGUCGAGAGUCCCUGCGCCGAAAAUGUCCGGGGCUGAAACACGACACCGAAGCUUGGGAAUGCGAAUGCAUUGGUAGAGGAGCAUUGCAUGAGGGAUGAAGCCAUACCGAAAGGAGUGGUGGACUUCAUGGAAGAGAGAAUGCCGGAAUGAGUAGCGAGAUGAAGGUGAGAAUCCUUCAGGCCGAAUAUCUAAGGUUUCCAGAGUAAAGCUGAUCUGCUCUGGGUAAGUCGGGACCUAAGGCGAGGUCGAAAGACGUAGUCGAUGGAUAACAGGUUGAGAUUCCUGUACCACAUAUGGACAGAACUGUGGGGACACAGACAGGGAAUGGAAUCCGGGAAUGGAGAGCCCGGAGCAAGCGAGGUAGGAGUCAGGCUGGCAAAUCCGCCUGAUGAUCUGAAGACGUGAUGCGUACCGAACAUAAGUAGGGAAGUCCAGGCCCCUGGCUGUCGAGAAAAGCCGCUAUUGUUUCAUAUGUGCCCGUACCGUAAACCGACACAGGUGGAUGAGGAGAGAAUCCUAAGGCCGACGGGAGAAGUGUUGUUAAGGAACUCGGCAAAAUGACUCCGUAACUUCGGGAGAAGGAGUGCCAUGAGAGUGGCCGCAGAGAAAUGGCCCAAGCAACUGUUUAGCAAAAACACAGGUCUAUGCAAAACCGAAAGGUGAAGUAUAUGGGCUGACGCCUGCCCGGUGCUGGAAGGUUAAGGGGAGAGGUUAGCGCAAGCGAAGCUUUGAACUUAAGCCCCAGUAAACGGCGGCCGUAACUAUAACGGUCCUAAGGUAGCGAAAUUCCUUGUCGGGUAAGUUCCGACCCGCACGAAAGGCGUAAUGAUUUGGGCACUGUCUCAACAACACACCCGGUGAAAUUGAAAUACCAGUGAAGAUGCUGGUUACCUGCGCCAGGACGGAAAGACCCCAUGGAGCUUUACUCCAGCUUGAUACUGGGAUUCGGCAUGAUAUGUACAGGAUAGGUGGGAGACUGAGAAGUAAGGACGUCAGUCCUUAUGGAGUCGCUGUUGGGAUACCACUCUUAUCAUGUUGGAUUUCUAACCAUCGGCCGUGAUCCGGCCGGGGGACAAUGUCAGGUGGGGAGUUUGACUGGGGCGGUCGCCUCCGAAAGGGUAUCGGAGGCGCUCAAAGGUUCCCUCAGAAUGGUCGGAAACCAUUCGAAGAGUGCAAAGGCAGAAGGGAGCUUGACUGUGACACCGACGGGUGGAGCAGGUACGAAAGUAGGACUUAGUGAUCCGGUGGUAUAACGUGGGAUUGCCAUCGCUCAACGGAUAAAAGCUACCCUGGGGAUAACAGGCUUAUCACUCCCAAGAGUUCACAUCGACGGAGUGGUUUGGCACCUCGAUGUCGGCUCAUCGCAUCCUGGAGCUGUAGCAGGUUCCAAGGGUUGGGCUGUUCGCCCAUUAAAGCGGUACGCGAGCUGGGUUCAGAACGUCGUGAGACAGUUCGGUCCCUAUCCGGCGCAGGCGGAGGAAAUUUGAUAGGAGCUGUCCUUAGUACGAGAGGACCGGGAUGGACGGACCGCUGGUGUAUCUGUUGUACUGCCAAGUGCAUGGCAGAGUAGCCAAGUCUGGAAGGGAUAAACGCUGAAGGCAUCUAAGCGUGAAGCCCCCCUAAAGAUAAGAUUUCCCAUACCAUAAGGUAGUAAGACCCCUUGAAGACUACGAGGUUGAUAGGGCAGAGGUGGAAGUGUAGCAAUACAUGGAGCUGACUGUUACUAAUCGGUCGAGGCUUUAACCA
rnacentral:rRNA from 1 species